rnacentral:rRNA from 1 species
GACGAACGCUGGCGGCGUGCCUAAUACAUGCAAGUUGAGCGCUGAAGGUUGGUACUUGUACCAACUGGAUGAGCAGCGAACGGGUGAGUAACGCGUGGGGAAUCUGCCUUUGAGCGGGGGACAACAUUUGGAAACGAAUGCUAAUACCGCAUAAAAACUUUAAACACAAGUUUUAAGUUUGAAAGAUGCAAUUGCAUCACUCAAAGAUGAUCCCGCGUUGUAUUAGCUAGUUGGUGAGGUAAAGGCUCACCAAGGCGAUGAUACAUAGCCGACCUGAGAGGGUGAUCGGCCACAUUGGGACUGAGACACGGCCCAAACUCCUACGGGAGGCAGCAGUAGGGAAUCUUCGGCAAUGGACGAAAGUCUGACCGAGCAACGCCGCGUGAGUGAAGAAGGUUUUCGGAUCGUAAAACUCUGUUGGUAG